rnacentral:rRNA from 1 species
AACGAACGCUGGCGGCAGGCCUAACACAUGCAAGUCGAACGCCCCGCAAGGGGAGUGGCAGACGGGUGAGUAACGCGUGGGAAUCUACCCAGUUCUACGGAACAACUGAGGGAAACUCCAGCUAAUACCGUAUACGCCCUAAGGGGGAAAGAUUUAUCGGAAUUGGAUGAGCCCGCGUUAGAUUAGCUAGUUGGUGAGGUUACGGCCUACCAAGCCUACGAUCCGUAGCUGAUCUGAGAGGAUGAUCAGCCACACUGGGACUGAGACACGGCCCAGACUCUUACGGGAGGCAGCAGUGGGGAAUCUUGGACAAUGGGCGAAAGCCUGAUCCAGCCAUGCCGCGUGAGUGAAGAAGGCCUUAGGGUUGUAAAGCUCUUUUGCCAGGGACGAUAAUGACGGUACCUGGAGAAUAAGCCCCGGCAAACUUCGUGCCAGCCGCCGCAGUAAGAC